CGGAGCGUCUUUCCAGCAACCCCUCCGCCCGGCCUCGAAUAAUAGUAAUAAUGAUAGUAUUUGUUAAGCUCUUACUAAUCGCCAGGCACUGUACUAAGCGCUAGGGUAGAAACAACUUAAUGAGGUUGGACACGGUCCUUGGUCCCUCACAGGGCUCACAGUCUUAAACCCCAUUUUAUAGACGCGGUAGCUGAGGGCCAGAGAAGUUAAGUGACUUGUCCAAGGUCACCCAGCAGACACGUGGCAGAGCUGGGGCCAGAGCACAGGUCCAGGCCCGUGCCCUAUCCAUCAGGCCGCGCUGCUUCUCGGGGCCUCAUCCUUCUGCCCAGUCCCCCUCCCGAGAAGAAGAAGUUGGGCGGUCACCUUUCUCCCCGACCUCUUCGGCACCCCCUUUGCCGGCAGUGACCGGAGAGGUCAUCGGAUCCAGCCCUUUGCUGCAGAGGCGGGCCUGGCUCAUCCGCCGCUCAUCUGCACGUGGACCCCCACAUUGAAAAACUGACCCAUGUGCUUGCGCGCGCACACACAAACGCACAAAAAUGACCGGCACCACCAAGGACAGAGAGGUGCCGGGCACUGUCCUAAGCAUCGGCUCCUAAGAGGUCCUCGGUCAUCCUGGCCAAGGGAACCCGUGACACUAAAUGAGGAGAAGCGGUGUGGACUAACGGCUAGAGCACGGCUCUGGGAGUCAGAGGACCUGGCUCUGCCACUUGUCUGCUCUGUGACCCCGGGCGAGUCAUUUCACCUCUCCGUGCCUCAGUUCCCUCAUCCGUAAAAUGAGGAUUGAGACGCUGAGCUCCACCUGGAACACGGUCCGCGUCCAACUUGAUCGUUCUGUCUCUACCCCAGGGUUUAGUACGGUGCCUGCCAUAGAGUAAGCGUUUAACGAAGACCGUAAAAAAAAAUACCGAGUUGCACGAGAGACGCAUUUGUGUACAGCUCUCGCUCCUCCUAGAGAGACCCUAUGUGCCUGUGUGUGUGCGUGUCCGUCCCUGACCAGAUGAGUAUGUGUGUGUGUGUGUGUGUUUGUGUGUGUUUUUGUGGCGGGAGCCACUGUGCGUCCAUAAGGCAGGAAGGGUCUCUGUGUGAAAGGGUGGGAAAGGGUCUCCGUGUGAGGAUGGAGGAAGAAGAACGAGCAAAAGCGAGCGUCAGAGUUUUGCAGGGGUGCCAGGGACCGGCCACGCAGGGGGUGCAUUCGUGUACGUGCGUGUGAGUGCAUGUGCAAAACCUG
rnacentral:lncRNA from 1 species